GAUGACUGAAGUGAAUAACCAUUUCAGCAAGUGUCAACUGAUCUUGAAUUCGAUUUCAAGAUCCCUAGGAUCUAACACUAAUGAGUAUGCUGAUGACCAAAAGGGAAAACUAGAAGAAACUGAACAAUGGCUUCAACAAAGAAAGGAAUUGAUCGAACAAUAUAAGAAAUCUCUUGUAGAGAUUGUGAAAAAAGAGCCUUAAUUCCCUUCUCCUAAGAUGUUUUGGAUAUACAUUUUUUUUUACUCUUCCAGCAAUUUAGGUUUUAAAUACCAAGAAUUGUAAUC